rnacentral:lncRNA from 1 species
CAUCUGCAAAAUUGUGGCAAUAAUAUGUAUUUGAUAGGGUUAUAAAGAUCAAAUGAAUUAAUAUAAAGUUCAUAGAAAUGGAAUACAUACUAGGUAUUUGAUUUCCCCCUAUUUUUCACAAAGUCAUACAAAACUUUAAUUAUCUUUCAGAGAAACUUAUAUGAAAAAGAACAAGUAGCUAUAUCAACAUUAAUUCUGUGGAUACCUUCCUGUACUCUCUGUGCAAUUGGGUAACUAUUUUAUAACUGAUCCUGCCCCAGGAUGACUUCCCUUUGUUCUCAGAUUCUCCAGAGGCAGAGGUACAGAAACAUUCCUCAGUUUGUCUUCUACCACUUUCUACCUGUCUGUGCUUAUUGAACUAGCAUCCUGAGACAGGUAAGCUAUGACUUCAUUCUCCGCAUGUCCAUUCUCCAUAUAUCCUAAAAGUCCUUUGUGACCUGGUG